GGUGUUUACUGUCGAACUGAACACUCUACCGUUUACUGUCUGGUGGUGCUCUUCACCGAGUGUCACCAGUGGUCGGUACGUUUACUUUGAAAAAAUUAGAGUGCUCAAAGCGGUUUUUACACGACCGAAUACUGUUGCAUGGAAUAAUGAAAUAGGACUUUGGUUCUAUUUUGUUGGUCUUCGGAACCAAGGUAAUGAUUAAGAGGGACAGACGGGGGCAUUAGUAUUGCGACGCUAGAGGUGAAAUUCUUGGACCGUCGCAAGACUAACUAAAGCGAAAGCAUUUGCCAAGAAUGUUUUCAUUAAUCAAGAACGAAAGUUAGAGGUUCGAAGGCGAUCAGAUACCGCCCUAGUUCUAACCAUAAACGAUGCCAACCAGCAAUCAGCCUGUGUUCUCUUGAUGACACGGCUGGCGGCUUCCGGGAAACCAAAGUCUUUCGGUUCCAGGGGAAGUAUGGUUGCAAAGCUGAAACUUAAAGGAAUUGACGGAAGGGCACCACCAGGAGUGGAGCCUGCGGCUUAAUUUGACUCAACACGGGGAAACUCACCCGGCCCGGACACUGUGAGGAUUGACAGGUUGAAGCCCUUUCUUGAUUCAGUGGGGUGGUGGUGCAUGGCCGUUCUUAGUUGGUGGAGUGAUUUGUCUGGUUAAUUCCGAUAACGAACGAGACUCUAGCCUACUAAUUAGACCGUGGCGUCCUCGUGCCGCCACGGCGCUUCCUAGAGGGACAGACGG
rnacentral:rRNA from 1 species